GACGAACGCUGGCGGCGUGCUUAACACAUGCAAGUCGAACGGAAAGGCCCUGCUUUUGUGGGGGGCUCGAGUGGCGAACGGGUGAGUAACACGUGAGUAACCUGCCCUUGACUUUGGGAUAACUUCAGGAAAAUGGGGCUAAUACCGGAUCGGAGCUCCUGCUUCAUGGUGGGGGGUGGAAAGUUUCGGCGGUUGGGGGUGGACUCGCGGCUUAUCAGCUUGUUGGUGGGGUAGUGGCUUACCAAGGGUUUGACGGGUGGCCGGCCUGAGAGGGUGACCGGCCACAUUGGGACUGAGAUACGGCCCAGACUCCUACGGGAGGCAGCAGUGGGGAAUAUUGCACAAUGGGCGGAAGCCUGAUGCAGCAACGCCGCGUGCGGGAUGACGGCCUUCGGGUUGUAAACCGCUUUCGCCUGUGACGAAGCGUGAGUGACGGUAAUGGGUAAAGAAGCACCGGCUAACUACGUG
rnacentral:rRNA from 1 species